UACCAGCACCCCGAGCGGUCGGGACGAUUAUUGGGCCUAAAGCAUCCGUAGCCGGUUUUACAAGUCCCCCGUUAAAUCCAGCUGCUUAACAGAUGGGCUGCGGAGGAUACUAUAAGACUAGGAGGCAGGAGAGGCAAGCGGUACUCAGUGGGUAGGGGUAAAAUCCGUUGAUCCAUUGAAGACCACCAGUGGCGAAGGCGGCUUGCCAGAAUGCGCUCGACGGUGAGGGAUGAAAGCUGGGGGAGCAAACCGG
rnacentral:rRNA from 1 species